GGAGGGGACAGCUAAGUGGUUAGAGUGUAUGCUUAGCAUGCAUGAGGUCCUGGGUUCAAUCCCCAGUACCUCCA
rnacentral:tRNA from 1 species